rnacentral:rRNA from 1 species
GAUGAACGCUGGCGGCGUGCCUAAUACAUGCAAGUCGAGCGAACGGACGAGAAGCUUGCUUUUCUGAUGUUAGCGGCGGACGGGUGAGUAACACGUGGAUAACCUACCUAUAAGACUGGGAUAACUUCGGGAAACCGGAGCUAAUACCGGAUAAUAUUUUGAACCGCAUGGUUCAAAAGUGAAAGACGGUCUUGCUGUCACUUAUAGAUGGAUCCGCGCUGCAUUAGCUAGUUGGUAAGGUAACGGCUUACCAAGGCAACGAUGCAUAGCCGACCUGAGAGGGUGAUCGGCCACACUGGAACUGAGACACGGUCCAGACUCCUACGGGAGGCAGCAGUAGGGAAUCUUCCGCAAUGGGCGAAAGCAUGACGGAGCAACGCCGCGUGAGUGAUGAAGGUCUUCGGAUCGUAAAACUCUGUUAUUAGGGAAGAACAUAUGUGUAAGUAACUGUGCACAUCGUGACGGUACCUAAUCAGAAAGCCACGGCUAACUACGUG